rnacentral:rRNA from 1 species
UACAGAGGGUGCAAGCGUUGUUCGGAAUUACUGGGCGUAAAGGGCGCGUAGGCGGCACAGCAAGUCGGGAGUGAAAGCCCGGGGCUCAACCCCGGAAUGGCUUUCGAAACUGCUGAGCUAGAGUACAGAAGGGGCAACCGGAAUUCCCAGUGUAGCGGUGAAAUGCGUAGAUAUUGGGAAGAACACCUGAGGCGAAGGCGGGUUGCUGGGCUGAUACUGACGCUGAGGCGCGAAAGCCAGGGGAGCAAACAGG